rnacentral:rRNA from 1 species
UACAUGUGGGGCAAGCGUUGUUCGGAAUUACUGGGCAUAAAGGGUGCGUAGGCGGCUUGUUAAGUCAGGGGUGAAAGUUUUCGGCCCAACCGGAAAAUUGCCUUUGAUACUGGCGAGCUCGAGUGCGUGAGGGGUAACCGGAACGAGCAGUGUAGCGGUGAAAUGCGUAGAUAUCGAGAGGAACACCUGCGGCGAAGGCGGGUUGCUGGGCUGACACUGACGCUGAUGCGCGAAAGCCAGGGGAGCGAACGGG